CACGGGGGGAGCAAGCGUUGUUCGGAAUCACUGGGCGUAAAGAGCGUGUAGGCGGCCAGGUAGGUCUGCUGUGAAAACUCGAGGCUCAACCUCGAGACGUCGGCGGAAACCAUCUGGCUAGAGUCCGGAAGAGGAGAGUGGAAUUCCUGGUGUAGCGGUGAAAUGCGCAGAUAUCAGGAGGAACACCGGUGGCGAAGGCGGGUCUCUGGGACGGUACUGACGCUGAGACGCGAAAGCGUGGGGAGCGAACAGG
rnacentral:rRNA from 1 species